GACGCAGCCCGGGUAGUCGCAGGAGCGCACCAAGCGUGCGCUCUUGAGGAAAGUCCGGACACCGUAGAGCAGGGUGCUGGAUAACGUCCAGCGGGGGAAACCCUAGGGAAAGCGCCACAGAAAAGACACAGCACACCGGCCCGUCCGGUUGCGAAGGUGAAAUGGUGCGGCAAGAGCGCACCGGCGCCGUGGUGACACGGCGGCCAGGCAAGCCCCACCCGGUGCAAGGCCGAAUAGGGAGGCGUUCGAGGGUUGCUCGCCCGAAGCCUCCGGGUUGGCCGCAUGAGCCGUCCGGUAACGGCCGGCCACAGAUGGAUGGCUACCCAAGCAGGCUGCUGGAGAAUGAGGCCUCGCCGUCCGGCGCGGUCUGGGGGCCCGGGGUCUCAUUCUCCAGCAGCCUGCCGGACAGAAUCCGGCUUACAGGGCUGCUACCGCG
rnacentral:RNase_P_RNA from 1 species